rnacentral:lncRNA from 1 species
UUUUUGUGUGGUAAUGCAUUACUACAGUUUAGACAUCAAAAUGAUAAUAAAAGCUGUAUUUUGGGAAGUAUUCCUUCCACUUCUGUCCCUUUCUACCCCAUUCCUUCAACUCCCUUAUCCCCAAAGGUACUAACUACUUUUUUUAGUUUCACCUGAUUCCCUAGGGUCACACUGAUUUGUUUCAAUGAUGAUGAUAUUUGGCAUUCAACAGGGAACCAGGCAAUCAGGCUCUAAGGAUAUCAGAGAUGCUGUUCUAUGGAGGAAAACAAGCACGGAGCUGCUUCCAGAGAGGCUCACAGCCGCAGCAUGGGCAGCAGGGAACAUCUCCAGGGAGAGCCGUCCUCCCCUCCAGGAGUGCUCCACGGCACUGCCUCUGGUGGAGGGGAAUUUUGCUUGUUGUCUAUGUCCUCUUUGUGAACCUGCCUGUGAUUGAUUAAGAGCCAGCUCUGCUUAGGAGGGUGCAGAAGGCAUCUAGGGAGGAGAUGACAAAGGCCUUCAGUUAAUUCCGCUAAAUAAUCUUCUGGGGACCUUCCAAUCAUGGAGUGCUAACCACUAAAUUGCUAAUUAAGUGCCCAGUUAACCUUAUUAAUAAUACUAACUGCACAGGGGCCUCCCUGAUUCUGCUGGAAUGUAUGCUAACGGGGCUAUAAAAAGGCAGCCGUGUUGAGUUCUCAUGAAUGUUUGCACAGGAGAAAGCAUUCAGACAACAACUAAGCAUUCCUUUUGACAUUUGUAUUAAAUUGCUCAUUAGGUUUAUUGUGGAAAUUAAAUUACUGCAAAGCACUGUCCAUUAAUUCCUGAUUAGGCCUGAAUGGCUGUGCUGAUGCAAGUCUGGGCUGUGGUGGAGUUGCUUAGUUAUGUGUGGGCAGGCUGCUAGGUGGUCUGGAUUGCUCAGGAGCCUGGAAAGGGAACAGAUGCUCUAAGCAGAGGGGCUCCAUUUCAGAGAAGCCAGUGAUCAUGCAGAGGAACCAGCAGGACUGAUGUAAUGGGUCUCUGGAACAAGACUGAGCAAGAAGACAUAGUCUUUUGGCUAAUAAGGUUUUGAGUCUAGAAUGGACUUGUUUAUCUGAUGAUGGUACAAAAAUCCCUGCCUUGAAGAUAUUUAUUUGGGAAAAAUGGGAAGUAUAGCAUAAUGAUUAAGAAUAGGGGUUCUGAUGCCAGGCUGCUUGGGUUUGAAUCUUGGCCAACUAACCAAUUUUGAAGAUAACUCUGAUUAUACUCAGAACUUUCUGAAAAGAAUAUUUUAAAGAACAAACAGAAAGUUCACAGACAAUUUUUAAUUCAUUCUAUCUAAGAAUCCAUGUCUAAGUACCUCUCCAGUUCAUAAACACCCCAUGCUGAUGUUUUCUCUUUGAAGUGUGUAGACAUGAUUCUUUAUAUUUUAUUGGCUGAAUGGUGAUGCAGGGAGUGGUUGGAGGUUUAAAAUUUUUGCUUAUUCUGGGGGCUUAAGGCGGUAGGAGAAGAAUAAAUGAAACAAGAUGGGAUUGGGAGGGAGACAAACCAUAAGUGACUCUUAAUCUCACAAAACAAACUGAGGGUUGCUAGGGGGUUGGGGGUUAGGAGAAGGGGGGUGGGGUUAUGGACAUUGGGGAGGGUAUGUGCUUUGGUGAGUGCUGUGAAGUGUGUAAACCUGGCGAUUCACAGACCUGUACCCCUGGGGAUAAAAAUAUAUUACAUGUUUAUAAAAAAUAAAAAAUUAAACAAAC